rnacentral:rRNA from 1 species
AUUGAACGCUGGCGGCAGGCCUAACACAUGCAAGUCGAGCGAGCGGCGGACGGGUGAGUAAUGUAUGGGGACUGCCCGAUAGAGGGGGAUAACUACUGGAAAAGGUGGCUAAUACCGCAUACUAUCGGAUAACCCAUAUGGGAUUAGCUAGUAGGUGGGGUAAAGGCGCACCUAGGCGACGAUCACUAGCUGGCCUGAGAGGAUGAUCAGCCACCCCGGUACGUAGCCACUGCCCAGACUCCCACGGGGGCAGCAGUGGGGAAUAUUGCACAAUGGGCGCAAGCCUGAUGAAGCCCGGCCGCGUGUAUGACGAAGACCUUAGGGUUGGAAAGUACUUUCAGCGGGGAGGGGUUACCCGCAGAAGAAGCACCGGCUAACUCCGUGCCAGCAGCCGCGGUAAUUA